CUACGAGUUUGAUCCUGGCUCAGAACGAACGCUGGCGGCAGGCUUAACACAUGCAAGUCGAACGCCCCGCAAGGGGAGUGGCAGACGGGUGAGUAACACGUGGGAACAUGCCCAAAGGUACGGAAUAUUCUCGGGAAACUGGGAGCAAUACCGUAUGUGCCCGAAAGGGGAAAGAUUUAUCGCCUUUGGAUUGGCCCGCGUUGGAUUAGCUAGUUGGUGGGGUAAAAGCCUACCAAGGCGACGAUCCAUAGCUGGUCUGAGAGGACGACCAGCCACACUGGGACUGAGACACGGCCCAGACUCCUACGGGAGGCAGCAGUGGGGAAUCUUGGACAAUGGGCGCAAGCCUGAUCCAGCCAUGCCGCGUGAGUGAUGAAGGCCCUAGGGGUGUAAAACUCUUUCGUGGGGGACGAUAAUGACGGUACCCCAAGAAGAAGCUCCGGCUAACUUCGUG
rnacentral:rRNA from 1 species